rnacentral:rRNA from 1 species
GAUGAACGCUAGCGGCAGGCUUAAUACAUGCAAGUUGAACGAAGUUAUUUUUAGCAAUAGAAAUAACUUAGUGGCGCACGGGUGCGUAACACGUAUGCAACCUACCCUUAACAGGAACAUAACAUGAAGAAAUUCGUGCUAAUAUUUCAUAGUAUUUAGAACUGGCAUCAGUUUUAAAUUAAAGCUCCGGCGGUUAAGGAUGGGCAUGCGUCCCAUUAGCUUGUUGGUAAGGUAACGGCUUACCAAGGCUACGAUGGGUAGGGGUUCUGAGAGGAAGGUCCCCCACACUGGUACUGAGACACGGACCAGACUCCUACGGGAGGCAGCAGUAAGGAAUAUUGGUCAAUGGACGCAAGUCUGAACCAGCCAUGCCGCGUGCAGGAAGACGGCCCUAUGGGUUGUAAACUGCUUUUGACGGGAAAAAAAGUCCGAUACGAGUUAUUGGUUUGCUAGUACCUGUUGAAUAAGCAUCGGCUAACUCCGUG